rnacentral:sRNA from 1 species
GCCGGCCGCGGUGGUGCACACCUGUAAUCCCAGAGGCUCGGGAGGCUGAGGCAGGAGGAUCACUAGUUCAAAGCCAGGCAAGGGGCUAAGCAACUAAAUCAGUGAGACUCUGUCUCUA